rnacentral:rRNA from 1 species
CUAAGAAAUGCAAGUCGAGCGAGGCAUGGAGCUUGCUCCGGAAGCCUAGCGGCGAACGGUCGCGUAACACGUAAGCAACCUGCCCCAAAGUUUGGGAUAGCCCUCCGAAAGGGGGAUUAAUACCGGAUGUGGAUGUCGAUAUGCAUGUAUUGACAUCUAAAGCAUUUAUGCGCUUUGGGAUGGGCUUGCGGCCUAUCAGCUAGUUGGUGAGGUAACGGCUCACCAAGGCGACGACGGGUAGCUGGUCUGAGAGGAUGGUCAGCCGGACUGGGACUGAGACACGGCCCAGACUCCUACGGGGGGCAGCAAUUAGGAAUCUUGGGCAAUGGGCGAAAGCCUUGACGCAGCGACGUCGCGUGAACGAUGAAGUCUUUCGGGAUGUAAAGUUCUUUUCUGAGGGAAGAAGGAUGUGACGGUACCUCAGGAAUAAGCCCCGGCUAACUACGUGCCAGCAGCCGCGGUAAUACGUAGGGGGCGAGCGUUGUCCGAAUUUACUGGGCGUAAAGCGCGCGUAGGCGGACUCUUAAGUUGGUGGUGAAAUGCCGAGGCUCAACCUCGGAACUGCCUUCAAAACUGGGAGUCUAGAGGCUUGGAGAGGGAAGUGGAAUUCCUGGUGUAGCGGUGAAAUGCGUAGAUAUCAGGAGGAACACCGAUGGCGAAGGCAGCUUCCUGGCCAUGUCCUGACGCUGAGGUGCCGAAAGCUAGGGUAGCGAACGGGAUAAGAUACCCCGGUAGUCCUAGCCGUAAACGAUGGAUACUAGGUGUAAGAGGGAUCGACCCCUCUAGUGCCGAAGCAAA